rnacentral:lncRNA from 1 species
GAGCAGCCGCAGCAAGCGGUCGGACUCGCACGCGCGGGCCCCGCGCUGGUACAGGGCUGCAGGUUUCCCAGAUGAUGGCAUCCGAGAACUUAAACAAAGAGGGUCGCCGCCGGCGCGCCGCGGCUGCACAAAGUUGCAGUGGCGGAUUUCCAAGAAGCUUGGCCACAGGAGCUCUGCGCGAGGCAAGCCUUCCUUUCCCACCUCCUGCAGGACAGAGAUGGGGGCCCGCGCGUGAAGGGAAGAGGAAACUUUGAAACCAGUGGGGACACAUCUGUCUAUAGGAGUUCGCUCGACCCCAGUCGCAUUUUCUUUCUCCGCUGCACAUCAAUGCGUGUAAACACGGCUUCGGAGCGGCUGCCCACUUUCUGUGUUCGUCUUCUCUUUUUCAGCAAAGCAAUAGGCAGUAGACAAGAAUGUUACACCGCUAGGAGAAUCCGUUUAAGCGUGUGUUUGAGGUAAACCCUCCUAAUUAAGUCAACUUUAACACAGACACGCAAAUGGCACCCUGCAUAUGUGUCUGGCGCCUAAUAUUGGCUGCUGAGCCCAAAGGAAGUCAGGCAGCAGCAGGGCCGAGGAGACAGUUUAUACGUUCAGCCUCUCCUUCCUUUAACCUUUCUACUAGAAAACUGUUUGUGUGGUGGGGGCUGGGCGGGCAGCUUCCCACUCGGGCUAGUGCCUGAAUCAGUGAGGCUAAGAUGCAGAUGCUCAGACUUUGCUCCGAUGCUCACAGCGUUUCUGGGUCCAUCUUGCCCAAGGAAAACAUGUGAUGAGUUUGAAUGACUGAAAGCCAAAGGAAGAAAGAAUCCAGCUUUGAAGCUCUGUAUAGCCUCGGGUUUCUCCAUUGAGGAGCAUACCAGAGAGCUUCAUCAAGAACAUUCCAGAGGGCUUUAUCUUAUAUGGACUAGAACUUGGUGGGGUAACGUGGGGAGAAUAACAUUUGUAAUGCUUUACCAAGCUGGCAUUUUAGGAGACUUAAGUAGUUAGCAAUUGGAACAUCAAUGUUUUUGGUGGCCCCAAGUGACACAUAAAAGGAAUAACUUUCCCUCAAUUGCUGUUGAGGGACUGCUAGAGGGUCAGUUACUCUGGGCUAAGAGUGAAUGGGAAAAGUCCUGUUAGGUGAUCUAGUUAGACAUCAUUCGUUCUUCCAGACUUACAGAGUAUAGCAGUCAGACAUCAUUAGCUCAUCCAGACCUACACAGAAUAGCAAUCAGACAUCAUUAGUUCAUCCAGACAUAUUGACUGUAACAAUUAGAUGUCUUGUCACCCUGUCAGAACCACUGGCAACCCAAAUGUAGAGUAAGACUUAAAAAGGUAAAAUAAAAAAUCUCCAGAA